rnacentral:misc_RNA from 1 species
GUAGGUGAACCUGCGGAAGGAUCAUUAAUGAAUUGGCCCUUGAGGCCUAAUUCAAUCCCACACCUUUGUGAACUGUCUUGGUUACUUUGGCGGGGUCGCAAUUUAUUGCGCCCAAUUUAGGGACUCCCCGCCAAGGGCUUUGCAAACUUAAGUUUUAUAAAAGAUAGAAAGUUAAUAUUCAAUAUAUACAACUUUUAGCAAUGGAUCUCUUGGCUCUCGCAUCGAUGAAGAACGCAGCAUCUGACUGACU